rnacentral:rRNA from 1 species
UGGGGAAUAUUGCACAAUGGGCGCAAGCCUGAUGCAGCCAUGCCGCGUGUGUGAAGAAGGCCUUCGGGUUGUAAAGCACUUUCAGCGGGGAGGAAGGCGGUGAGGUUAAUAACCUCACCGAUUGACGUUACCCGCAGAAGAAGCACCGGCUAACUCCGUGCCAGCAGCCGCGGUAAUACGGAGGGUGCAAGCGUUGAUCGGAAUUACUGGGCGUAAAGCGCACGCAGGCGGUCUGUCAAGUCGGAUGUGAAAUCCCCGGGCUCAACCUGGGAACUGCAUUCGAAACUGGCAGGCUAGAGUCUUGUAGAGGGGGGUAGAAUUCCAGGUGUAGCGGUGAAAUGCGUAGAGAUCUGGAGGAAUACCGGUGGCGAAGGCGGCCCCCUGGACAAAGACUGACGCUCAGGUGCGAAAGCGUGGGGAGCAAACAGG